AUUGAACGCUGGCGGCAGGCCUAACACAUGCAAGUCGAACGAGUGGCGGACGGGUGAGUAAUGUCUGGGAAACUGCCUGAUGGAGGGGGAUAACUACUGGAAACGGUAGCUAAUACCGCAUACCAUCAGAUGUGCCCAGAUGGGUUUAGCUUGUGGGUGGGGUAACGGCUCACCAAGGCGACGAUCCCUAGCUGGUCUGAGAGGAUGACCAGCCACACGGGAACUGGGGGACGGUGCAGACUCCUACGGGAGGAAGGGGUGGGGAAGAUUGGAAAAUGGGCCAAAGCCUGAUGCAGCGAUGCCGCGUGUAUGAAGGAGGCCUUCGGGUUGUAAAGUACUUUCAGCGGGGAGGCGGUACCCGCAGAAGAAGCGCCGGCUAACUCCGUGCCAGCAGCCGCGGUAAUUC
rnacentral:rRNA from 1 species